GCCAUUGAUCUUGUUUCACUUUGGUCAUAAUAGAUUCUUUUUUUAGUGCGAAGAUGAUUUUUAUUCUGAUUAUUAUUAUUGUUAUUUUUUCACUGUUCCAGGUAACUGACCGAUGAUGACAUUAAGCAUCGAAGGACACACCUAAACUUUCUUUCCGAGAUUGCCUUGCUACUUUGAAGAAGUCUGUACGUCCCCGAAGUAGGCCAAUGGCAGGCCCCGGUGUAGAGACCUUCUCGCGGUCCCGGACAAGUGGACAGGUCACGAUUUGGUGGUGACAAGGAAAGCUACAGAAGUAGCAGCAGCGGCCGUGGGGAUGGAUUUGGCAGAGAGAAAGGUGGAGCACCUGGAAGAGUAUCGACCUGAGUUUAAAGGUGGACGAGGUGGCUUCCGUCCUGGAACUGCUGGAGGAUUUGGAGGCGGCACCCUAAGUGCUUUUACUGAGUAGGGUGUCGCACUUUUUACACUUCGUGUUCAUUCUGCAUCUGGGGUCUUAACGAGAGAAAGUAAAGGGUUAUGUACCAGGCGCCAGCUUUAAUAAAUGCUGAGUGACGAAUAACGAUGCUGCUUCACCGGAAGAAUAUCAAGAAUAUCCUAUCUUUAGGUGUCCAUGUAGAGAAAUGUGGCUAGGCACGAAUCGGCUCUCAUACGGAGUUUCUUAGUCGAGGUAACUGAUGUGAAGAUGUCAAUGUGCGGUUACCGUUAUUGUAGCAAAUUUUGAAAGACGAUAGCAUUAUUUUCGGUUUCUGGGUAUGGAACAUGUUUAGCGUCAGGAGCACCGGAUUCUGAUGCCAUGAUGCGGCAUUUAUUAAUUGUCACGAAAUGAAACUUGACACCAGGAGAAGGUCACUGAAAAGACCAACACUGCCUGGCAAGUUUAACGGAUCUCCGCAUCGUGAACUGUUCCUGUAACUGCGAGAGUGACUUCGAGAUUGUUGUUCCUCUGAUGGCGGCAAACAAAGUCACUUGAGCAGUGGUGGUGGCGCUAUUGACAAGCUCCAUCAUUGCAUUGGGUCACGCCGUCGCCACAGAAGAGCAUCAGAGACUGAUCCCUUCGCUCAUAAACUUUAUUACGUACGACAUGGGUUGUGAUCUGUCUGGGUGAGAACGUGGAACGGGCACAGCAUGUCAGUUGUAGGGUUCGGAAUUAGAAUCUAUGCAAUUCUUUAUAAACUCGUCGUGAAGGAUUCAAAAAGUAGAAUUCGAAAGGAAAAAAAUAAAUAAAACAACUAUGAACAAUUUUACGCAGGCAGCUACCACCAAUGUAAGCUUGGAAUCGUUGGGUAGCAACAUACACUUUGUUUUCGAUUAGCCCGACAGGACGUUAGCCAAUGAAUAUUACAGUUCGGAAAACUAGACACAAACUAUGUUUUGUAUUAUCUGAGAUAUGCUGCUUGGGUAACGCCAACAAGACUGCGCUCAGAUCUGGGCAACUGCAGCUUGUAACAGAAAAAAGAAAGAAUUAUCUUGUGUGUGACGUGCGAGAACAUGGACAAAGGAUACGUGGAGUCACACCUGCUCUCGCCUCUUUCUCCAUGUUGGCUGAAAAAGAUAAACGUGUGCUUUGUCUGCAGCAGAAACGACGAGAAAAGGUUAGAGAAUUUUAGGAACGGAGGUGGCGGGGCCUCUGGGUCCGCAAACCAGGCCAUACCGGGUCCAUAGGUGUUUAGGGGUGACGAUACCCCGGUACUCAAGGCGCAAACUAUUAGGAAUUUAAUUGAGGAAUAAACCAAGUUCCAAACAGAAAUGGCGAAGGGCCGUAAACGCAAAUAGUCGGAGACCUCGCACCAAGUUAUAACCAUCGUUACACUAGAACCGGUUAAAAUCUUCUUUGUUCAGUUCUGCUAGCAAUGGAAAUGUGUAUCUCUGAACUUUCGGCUCAUUCAUACAUCGAUGCACAUGUU